GACGAACGCUGGCGGCGUGCCUAAUACAUGCAAGUUGAGCGCUGAAGGUUGGUACUUGUACCCACUGGAUGAGCAGCGAACGGGUGAGUAACGCGUGGGGAAUCUGCCUUUGAGCGGGGGACAACAUUUGGAAACGAAUGCUAAUACCGCAUAAAAACUUUAAACACAAGUUUUAAGUUUGAAAGAUGCAAUUGCAUCACUCAAAGAUGAUCCCGCGUUGUAUUAGCUAGUUGGUGAGGUAAAGGCUCACCAAGGCGAUGAUACAUAGCCGACCUGAGAGGGUGAUCGGCCACAUUGGGACUGAGACACGGCCCAAACUCCUACGGGAGGCAGCAGUAGGGAAUCUUCGGCAAUGGACGAAAGUCUGACCGAGCAACGCCGCGUGAGUGAAGAAGGGUUUCGGAUCGUAAAACUCGGUUGGUAGAGAAGAACGUUGGUGAGAGUGGAAAGCUCAUCAAGUGACGGUAACUACCCAGAAAGGGACGGCUAACUACGUG
rnacentral:rRNA from 1 species